UACGUAGGGUGCAAGCGUUGUCCGGAAUUAUUGGGCGUAAAGAGCUCGUAGGCGGUUUGUCGCGUCUGCUGUGAAAACUCGGGGCUUAACCCCGGGCCUGCAGUGGGUACGGGCAGACUAGAGUGCGGUAGGGGAGACUGGAAUUCCUGGUGUAGCGGUGAAAUGCGCAGAUAUCAGGAGGAACACCGGUGGCGAAGGCGGGUCUCUGGGCCGAUACUGACGCUGAGGAGCGAAAGCGUGGGGAUCAAACAGG
rnacentral:rRNA from 1 species